rnacentral:lncRNA from 1 species
CGGGGUUUCUCCAUGUUGGUCAGGCUGGUCUCGAACUCCCGACCUCAGGUGAUCCACUCGCCUCGGCGUCCCAAAGCGCUGGGAUUACAGGCGUGAGCCACAGCGCCCAGCUGACCAUGCCUUCCUUAAGCCACCAAAGUGGCCGAAUUUCACCCCGAUAUGGGACCUCUGCCUAGGGUGGCGUCGUAGUUUUGGUUGAGGGCUGUUUCCCUGGCGAUGUCCCUCCUAGAGGUUCGGCGACCUCGUGAUGUGACUUUGUG